GUGCAGGUAGCUAGAAUGGUUGGAUCGAUGAGUCGCCUCCGUCCGUCCUGGCUGUUUAAACUCAUCUGUAUAAUCAACAAUCAUUUAGGAGAAACCGAGCUUUCAUGGAGAAAAAUGAAGAACUGUCUCACUUUCACUUCCUCAGCUUAUUUGGAAAAUGAGCCACUCACAAACAGCUGAACUUGAUCCAUAUUGAUUGAACUUCAUUUAUCUCCUCCAAGGAAAAAGUUCGACACAAUGGAAGACCUUGAAUUCCUAACUUUGCAGCUUCAGAAACAAACCCUGCAAGCAGGACGCUUGGAAAUGAUAAGCAAUUCCCGUCUGCCUUCAGAGUUCGAUUAUCAGAUUCAAUGCCCAAGCAGGAAGGCAAUCCUCCAGUAAGCAUAUUGCUAGAUAUA